AAACACAGCCUUAUUUUUUUUUUUUUUUUAGGGCCCAGGCUAUGUGCAGAAGAACAGAGUCCUCAAUGGGUUUUGGAUUCAGACACCACUUCCUGACUGGCAUAGUUUUAGGGAGGUUACUUAAGCUCUACAAGUUUAUGAGGAUUGAAUGAGAAAAUUUAGGUUAGACAUUUAGCCCAGCGCCAGGCACACGGAGACUGCUGAGUAAACAGGAUCUACUGUGGUUAUUAUUAUUCAUCGUUAUUACCACUAGCAUCAUUAUUUUAUGGGCAUAACUAAUGAGUUGGCAAUACUAACACAAACUUUAGCCAGAAUUUGACAAGGCCAAAAUAAAACCAGACCCAGUGAAAGAGACUAUGCUCAGCUCUCCCCAGCUACAGCUGGCCAGCGGCCUCCCUCCUGCUCCUCUCCAAGACCUUUAGAAGAAGCUCCUCAGCAGCUGGUACCUUGCUCUUGUGCUGACACCUAGGGACAGCCCCUGGUGUUUGGGUUUUUUUUUUUUUUUUUUCCUACUAUUAUUGACGGACAGUCUGCAAUAUUCAAAUCAGCUCUUUCAGUUCUUUUUUCUUUGGGGACCUGCCCAAGGAAGGCCUGGUGAGAUGCUGUCAAGGGUUCCAGAGCAAGUCCUGUGUCUAAGACAGACCGGAGCAAGAUGUGUCUUCUGUGUGUUACAAUCUGAAUGACUUAACAAUGAACAUGAAUGAAUCACAGCUGAAUAGAUCCCAAAGAAGACAGUUCUCUUGGGUACCACUUCCUUUGCUACCCACAAUCCCUAAAUUGGUUCCACCAGCCCCACAAACUGACAGCAGUGGCUGACCCUGGGUGACCGGCACUCUCUGUUCAGCUGGUGGAAGACAGCAUCAGAUCUCAGCGCUCAUGUGCACUUCAACUCCCCUGGCGCCCGGCCAGCCUUAGCUGGAGCUUUGCCAUCUGCUGGAGCACAGGAGAGGCAGAACCCAAGUCUCCAAUAGUUCUUUCAUCCACAUCAAGAGAAUGUGCUGAGCAGCAAAAAUCAACUUCGCUGGGGGAGAAGGUCUGACACUCAACCUGAAACCUGGAGGACUGAUUUGGAUUGACAAGAGUGAGUUCCAGGCAGAGGAAGCUUCCCAGAGCCAAUCAGGCAGCUGGAGGAGGAGAAACCAGCCCAAGCCCGUCUCAGCUCCCAGGACCUCCCCGCUCUGUAAUUAAUUACAGGUAGUUUUGUAUCUUCCUCCGAAUCAUUAUUUAAUUCCUACAGUGUUGACUGGGUUGGUAAUAUUUGUCUCUGCUCUUUUUAGUUCAGGUUGUAAGCUUGUGAGUACAAACUCCAUGGCUUGGUAUAUAAUCCAUGUCACAUUUACUUGUUUCUUUAAAUCAGGUUUAAUCAGCUCAGAAUCCCAUCCCCCACUCACCAGAGUUGAGAAACCCAAUUGUUGUAGGGACAGACAAGGCAAGGCACCAAAGAUAGCAGGAAACAGUUUUAUUUGGCUGCAGCCAGGUUCAGAGGGCACAGCUUUUGCUGUAAUCAAUUAAUCCCCUGAACCCCGAGUUCAGGGAGUUUCAGAAUUUUAUACCCAGCAUGUAAGGGGAGGGGCUCAGAAGUUCCCAGUCUGCAGAAGUUCACAUAAAAGCAGCUUUUCUUUCACUGUUUUGGGCAAGUUAACCCUUCAAGGUCAGCACCUGAGAAGGGGAGAGCUUCUUCUUCCCUUCUUUCCUCCCCCUGCCAGCUGUUACCAUGGAGCCCAUUUGUAACUUAUCUUAAAAAUGUAGACAUCUCUGUGAAGCCCUAGCUCAAGGCCAGAGGCCUUGUUUGCACAUUUCUACAAAAUACUAUACUGGAUAUGUUUGUGAAAAACUAGUAAGGGGUGUCCAGCACCUGGGGUGCUGGUAUCUUCCCGGCCAGUGGCCAAGUAAAACAGGGUGACAUGAAAAUAGGAAGUUUAUCUACAUUGAGCUCUUUUGCAGAGACUCUUUUGCUGACAGUCCUAAAAUCAGCCAUGGUGAAGAUUUCUGGAGAAGCCCAGUUAAGUCUUUUCUGUGGAGAAAGGGGGUGCCACUUCACAACCUCAGUCUCAAGGGAGAUACUUCCUCCUCUAUCUGCCGCCAGCAUCCUGAGAAGAUACUGAGGGUCUGACACGACCCAGAGCAGGCAUCAGGACUCUGGUUUCUGGCCUCCUUGACCGUGACUCAGGAACUCAUCUCAGAAUCAAGAUGGUCCCCGACUACGGCACAUUUAUGUCUUGGGCCAUGCUUGGACAUGCAGAUUUGCUGAGACUAGGGGUUUCCAGUGCCUUGGGUCUAACCUGCCUGGCUACACCCCAGCCCCUCCCUGGAGACCCUGUGAGGGAACAGGUGUGGCCCAUGUUGCUUGCAAAUCCCUCCAAAAUGUCAGACCCUUGCCUGGUCUCCCCAACUCUCUCCCAGCCUGGCCCCACAGCCAUGGCUGCAUCCCUGCUAGCUUCUCCCUAUAAUGUCCUCUCCUUCCAGGCUGAGGUCAUAAUGCCAGCCAAGGUUUUCCUGAGGAACUCACUGACUUCCUUCCUCAGUCAGUGUUGGGACCCAGCAUGGCACCUCAGUCCCCAUCCCUGUGAGUCCCUCAAGAGAGUGGGGGAUUGGCAGGCGUUGUGGCUCAGUGGCUUUAUGCUUGCCUAGCUUGUGUGAGGCACUGGGU